UGUUUGUCCUUCGGCGAAACGUUUCUAGAUUUCUCUUACCACAUGUAGACGUUCUUGCAUAUCAGACUUGUCAUUUGUGAAUUUGUAAACAUAGGUUCCAUGUUGUGUUAUUGCUGUUCAUUUCCUAAUAUUUUAAUGAUUAGACUUGGAAAACCAAAAACUUAGCUAGCCCUGAUGAUGAUAAUAAAAGUUAUCGAAACUGUCGGCAACUAAAUAAAUUGGUUUUUGUCAUCUUCAGACCUUAAACCCAUUAAAAACUCAACUUAUAUU